GGACAGGUGCUGUAAAACAAAAAUCUGCAUUAUCCUAGAAACUAUUCGGGGAAACUGUGCAUGGGGAGAAGGAAUAUGACAUGUAAGAGAACGUUUUAAGCGAACACUUCUUGUCAUUUAUCUUUUAGAUUUAUAGUUUGAGAUAAACAUAUUCUGAUGUUAGUUCUAUGGUAAAUUACUGGAUCUUAGAUUCUAUUCAGUAUAUCCUUUCUGCUAACCAUAAAAAUAAUGAAAUAAUAUUACUUGCAGCAACAUGGCUGGAUCUAGAGAUUAUCAUACUAAGUAAUGUUAGACAGUGAAAGACAAACAUACUAUGAUAUAUGUGGAAUCUGAAAAAAAAGAUACAAAUGAACUUAUUUGCAGAACAAAAACAGAACAAAACAGACUUGGAAAAAAUUAUCUUUAUCAAAGGGGACAAGUUGAGGGGGUGGACAGGGGAUUUGGGAUUGGCAUAUGCACACUUUAGGUAAAAGCAGUGAUUGGCCAACAGGGACCUGAAGCACAGCAGAGAACUCUACCCAAUAUUCUGUGAUAAUCUAUGUGGGAAAAGAAUCUGAUAGAGAAUGGAUGUGUGUACAUGUAUAACUAAAUCACUUUGUUGUAUGGCAGAAAUUAUACCAUUGUAAAUUAACUAUACUUCAGUAAAACUUAAAAAAAAAAAUAAAGCUUUGCCCCUUAGACAUACAGGCAGUGGAUUCUGCAGUCUACAUAAAGAAUGGUAAAGCAGUGGUUACCCUUUACUUCAUUCAUCUUGCUUAUUCAAGAUUAUAUUCCAUCUGUACCUCAAGUUGCUACAAAGAAUUGUUUUAGCAUUUAUAUUUUGCAAACAUGCUCACUGAAUUUUCAUUACCUACAUACUCCAUUGCUGUGACUAAGCAAAUGAAAUGUAGCAGUACCUUACAAUCUGUCAUGCCGAAUCAAAACAUUUCUGAUUUAGGGGUCUCAAAGCUUUUAAGUAUUUGUUUGUGUUUAAAGACAUGGGUUGAAUGUAUCCUCUUUCCAUCAUGUCUAUGAGAUUCUGUUCAAGGUUAAAGUAUAAUUACUAAUUAUACAUUGGUCAAUGCAUUUUACAGUGCAGUGGUUCUUACUUGUUUUUAGUUAAGGCAAAGCAAACACUUAUUUUUAUCCUGGGCUUUCCUAUGUGAGAGGCAUUAUAUGAAACAAAAUACAUAAAACAAAACAAAAAAACAAAAUGUGAAUUUUUAGUUGUAUAUAAUCUUAGAAAAGUAUAUCUAUUUUCACUUACAAUUGUUCUUGUGAUUUUUUGAAGCUAUUUAUAUGUUUAUUGUGUACUGUUUGUCUUGGGUAUACAUCGUCAUGAUUCUAAAUAAGUAACUAAAAAAUUGAAAAAUUUACAUAGCAGUGUGCCUGUGUAUAUCUAACACAGACAAACCUACUGAUUCUCCCUUUAAAGUAGCUAUUUGGGGUGGGGGUUGUGUAUUUAUGUGUGUCUAUAUACACAUAUAAUGCCACAUACUGAUUCUUUAAAUAGAUUCAUGAUAUUGUCAGAGUCACUUAGUCAUUUAAUCUACAUAGGCAUCAGUUGUUUCAUUCGUCAAGCAAGAAAGUUGGACUAACUGAACACUCAAGUCUCCUCUAGCUAUUUAAUAAUAACCAAAACUUCUAUAACUGCAUUAUUCUACCAUUGCAGGUUGAUUUCAUUGAUAUUUUGUGUGUAGAGAUAAACCAGUCUGCAGCAUUUCAUUGUAUAGUUUUUCAUUAGUACUUCAAGUAAAGGUGUUUUACUUAAAGAAUUAAAAUAUUUCAUGGAAGAUAUAAUUCAUAUAUAAAGGCCUGGAUGAAGCUUUUUUUUUUUCUUAAUAAAAAGACUAGCUCCUCCUAGUGAAAUGUUUGUAGGGGUUUAAAAAGUGUUCCUUUUAUAAUGUCAAAGUGUGUUUGUAUGAAUUAUCAAUGUCAAGAGAGGCAUCACUAUAACUCAUACAAAUUUGGAAAAAGUAAUUGAAAAGAUAUGUUCCUAUGUGUUAAACAGUUUUAAGUUGCAGAAUAAGGUUGGAGAAUAUUUGGAAACAUGACCCCUACAACUAUUUGUAAAAAAAUAUUUUUCAGAUACAAUACAAUAUUUAAAUAUGAAAUAUGCUUUCUUUUAUCUAAAACUAAUUCCACUAAUUUAUGUUAAAGUGAAUGUAAGAAACAAAUUAUUAGGUUUUAAAAUUCUCAAAUCCACAAGAAUAUUAAAGGACUAAGAAAACUUUUGAUAUUAACUAAUCCAGAUAUCUCAUUUAAAGAUAUUAGAAAAAUGAAGGAACAUGAAUAAAAGUAGAUACCCAUGGUCUCUUAGGUAGUGGAGUUGAUACUAGAUUUUUUUUUUCCCUGUCCAACAAUCUUUCCAGCAUACCAGGCUGCCUCACUUUCAAUGCAGAUUGGUUCCAGUGGAUUAUUAUUUUUUUUUCUUUUUAGGGCUGUACCUGCAUCAUAUGGAAGUUCCCAGGAUGGGGAUAGAACCAGUGAUGUAGCUGCUGGCCUACACCACAGCCAUAGUAAUACCAGAUCCAAGCCACAUCUACGACCUAUACCAUACAUAGCUCAUGGCAAUGCCAGAUCCUUAACCUACUGAGUGAGAUUGGGGAUCAAACCCACAUCCUCAUUCAUACUAGUCGGGUUCAUGACCACUGAGUCAUGAUGGGAACUCCCUGGAUUAAUUUUUAAGUGAGUUCUUGUCUUAUGGAUGGCGGGUCUGGAAUAUCAGAAUAAGGUUAGGAAAAAAGUAUACCGGAUAAGACUGAAAAGUUGUUCCCAUCAAAAUAAAUGAACCAUUUGCCUGGUUCCUGUGAGAAGAUCUAAAGGAUUAACCUUUCUCUUCCAAUGAAACCAGAAAGUCAAAUCAGUGAAGAAAAACCUACUAACCAAAAAUUUGCUCUUUGUAUACUUGGACUGCAUUAUGUAGAGGACUGGUAAUAGCAUUUGGAGUAAAUUUUUUUUUUAAUGUCAUGUAUAAUCAUAACCUAAUUUUUCUGUCUCAUAACUAAAAUUCAAUAAAUAAAUGAAAAUAAAAAUAUCACCAUAUUUACUUGCUGGAACUCAGGGAAGUUAAUUUAUUUGAUUUUAUCUGUUAUAAUCCUGCAUACAAAUAUGCACAAAUAAACAUACAUGUGUGCUCUAAAAUGUUGUGACAUCACUAAAAUAUAAAUUCUCUGCCUACAUAUUUACUGGUGUUUUAUAUGAGAAAUCGUAAUGUUAUGCAAAUAUAUUCAAUUUCUUAAUCAUAGUUUAGGUUUUCUUUAAACACUAUGUGAUAGCAAAUAAUUAAUGAAACUAUCAUAACUGAAAAAAUGAAGUGGAAAGAGUUUGAAUUUCAAAUUCAAAUAGAACUGAAUUUGAAAUCCAGAUAUAUUACUUGGGCAAAUUUCCUAAUCUCCUUAUUUUUUUUUUAUUAAACAGAAUUAACUGAAAUAGUUUUGAGGACUCAAUGGGAUAACAUAUAAGCAAGCUAAUUUAGUAAAUUAGGAAACAAUAAAAAAAAAAACUAUAGAAUCAUUUCAAUGUAUUUUCUCUGGCUGUAAAUCCUGACUUACAAAGAUAGGUAGAUAAUCAGCCUUAAAUUGCAGAGUUCUAAUUUCUUAAGAUCAAACAAUAUUUUUACACAUGUAAAGAAAAUUAGAAUAUGGUCUUUUAAUUUACAUUUACAUUUUAUAAUAUUUAAUAUAAAGCAUUCAACACAAAAUGAACACUUAAACUGGAAUAAUUAAAAUUAAGUUUCAUUCAGAGAGAAUGUGAAUACCUCUAUAUUUUAAUAAUUUUUAAAAUCUGUAGGAUGAAGAUCCAGUGCACAAAAAUGAAAUCACACAAUGUUUAAAUAACUUAGGAUAAUCCUGAUACUUCUCAGUAUUGGGCAAAAAAAAGAUAUUUCAAUGAUGUUUAAUAAUCAUCUAUAAUUUGCAUUGUUACUACUCCUUCAGAAAAUAAUUCCUGUUAAUUCUAACCAGAAAUAACAGCUCUGUCUCUGAAAACCCAGAAAGUUUUGUUGUAUAUCUUUUGUACACCUCAAUUACUCCCUUGCGAAAUAGGGGUUGCAGACCCCGUCAUAUAUUCCCUUCUUGUCCGUUAACUCAUUGUCUUAUUGCUUUUUGAAAAUUUCAGAGUGCCUAGCACAGUGACUUUCACACUGUUCUUGAUAGCUUAUUGGUUAAUGAAUGAAUGAAUUCCUAGUUUGGUAUUUGCUAUUCUGCGCACAAAGCUGAUGUCUUUAAAAUGACAUUUUAUUUAAAUUACUACCCAACAAUGUUAUUCUAAAAAUCUUUAAAUCCAUUUCGUAUUUCAGAACACAUUAACAGUGGUCAAUAAUUUAGCUAUUAAUGUGAAGUGUCAUUUCACCAGGGAUCCAUCCUGUGAAAUGGAUGAUAUGGAAGCAUUUAUUUAAAAGAGUUUUAAAGUACUUAUGUGCAGUCCAAAGCACUCAAUUUCUAAGCUAAAUGCUUCACUAGUUCCCUCUUUGUAAAGUCUAGAUGACUUUGGCUUUAAAUUAGAGAGCAGUGCUUCCUCAUAUUCUAACUUGAAAUAUCAUCUACAUUUUGCACACUAUUUCAAGUGCUUCUGUCGCUCGAAUAACACUUUUUCUAACAUGUGGCAGUUUCAAAAGUUCUCAUAGUAUUAUUUUUUUUGAUUCUUAGAACAGCACCAUUAUUGUUUAAGGGAAUUUUUUUCAAAGCUCAUUUUAUAGAUUAAAACUCCAAGUCUUGGGAGUUCUUGGCAUGGCUCCGUGGUAACAAACCUGACUAAUCUACAUGAGGCCGAAAGUUCCAUCCCUGGUCCCACGCAGUGGGUUAAGGAUCCAGUAUUGCUGUGAACUGUGGUGUAGGUAGCAGACUCAGCUCAGAUCUGCUGUUGCUGUUGCUGUGACGUAGGCCAGUAGCUGCAGCUCCAGUUAGAACCCUGGCCUGGAACUUCCUUAUGCCCAUGGUGCAGCCCUAAAAAAACAAAAUAAAUAAAUAAAUAAAUAAAUGAAAAUGAAAAUGAAAAAAAAAAAAUCCAAGGCUUGAAGAAUUUCAGCUUCUUUGCUCAAGGUUUCAUUUGCUGGAUUGAGUAACAGUGUGAGAAUUAGUACCCAAGAUGUUCAGUAUUAUGCCAAGUGCUUUUGCCUUUUCAUACUUUUUUUCUUUAAAAUGAUAUAAAAAUAGCAUUACUAGAACAAAAACGGCCUCAGAAGAUAUUUAAAGAUAAAGCAGAAAGAGAACAAUUUGCAUUAAUGGAAACUUUCUGAUGUCAUUCAAGUCUAUAGCUUGUUGAUUGUGGUUUUUGUUUUUUUAUUCUUUUGCUUUGAUUUUGUUUUCAUCUUAACUUGCUGAUGUUUUCCAAUGCAUUUAACGUAUACUGGUGUUUAAGGCAAUUAAAACAAACAAACAAAAAGAAGGAGACAAGUAGUUAUACCAAGCCAUCAGUCUUUGUUCUUUUCUUGAGCUUUUUAAAAAUUCUCUUUCUUUUGGGUUUUAUAGAAAUUCUCCCCUGGUUCAUCCCAAGAGAUUAUCUUCAGAUGAAAUAUCAGGGUAGUUCCAAUUUUUGAAAGUCUUCUUGGUGCAGCAGGUGUGAUGUACUGAACAUUGUUCUAUUUUUAAAACAGUGACCAUUUGGGGAAUGUAGUAAAAUGUUUACCAAAAUAUUGCCUAAAAGUUAUGACAGUAUAAUUUUAUGAAAAGGAAAAAUCACACUUAUACACACACACAAACAUGCAGCCUUACCAACACACACACACAUAGAUACAUAUUCUUAAAUUUUGGUUAGAAGAGUCAUUUGGGAACUAAUAAAUUUUGGUUAGAAGAGUGAUUUGGGAACUAAUAAGCUUUCUGAGACAAAAUAACAUUCUAAAAUUUAAAGUGUUCUGGUGUGUCAAAAUGUUACAAAAAUGUCACUAUUAAAAAAAAAUAAAAUAAGAAACAGGAGUUCCCUUCAAGGCUCAGUGGUUAGCAAACCCAAGUAGUAUUCAUGAGAAUGCAGGUUCAAUCCCUGGCCCCACUCAGUGGCUUAAGGAUCCAGUGUUGCUGUGAGCUGUGGUGUAGGUCACAGACAUGGCUCGGAUCCUGAAUUGCUGUGGCUGUGGCUUAGGUGGGAAACAGCUCUGAUUCCACCCCUAACCUGGGAAAUUCCAUAUGCUGUGGGUGCAGCC
rnacentral:lncRNA from 1 species